CACGUACUCCCUCCGUUCCAAAUUACUUGUCUUAGAUUUGUCUAGAUACGGAGGUAUCUAGCACUAAAAUAAGUCUAGAUACAUCUAUAUCUAGACAAAUCUAAGACAAGUAAUUGGGAACGGAGGGAGUAGUUG
rnacentral:pre_miRNA from 1 species